rnacentral:rRNA from 1 species
CACGUAGGCGGACCGGAAAGUUGGGGGUGAAAUCCCGGGGCUCAACCCCGGAACUGCCUUCAAAACUAUCGGUCUGGAGUUCGAGAGAGGUGAGUGGAAUUCCGAGUGUAGAGGUGAAAUUCGUAGAUAUUCGGAGGAACACCAGUGGCGAAGGCGGCUCACUGGCUCGAUACUGACGCUGAGGUGCGAAAGCGUGGGGAGGCAAAACA